GGGGAAUAUUGCACAAUGGGCGAAAGCCUGAUGCAGCAACGCCGCGUGAGUGACGAAUGUCUCCGGAUUGUAAAGCUCUGUCUUUGGGGACGAUAAUGACGGUACCCAAGGAGGAAGCCACGGCUAACUACGUGCCAGCAGCCGCGGUAAUACGUAGGUGGCAAGCGUUGUCCGGAAUUAUUGGGCGUAAAGGAUGCGUAGGCGGAUGUUUAAGUGAGAUGUGAAAUUCCCGAGCUUAACUUGGGAGCUGCAUUUCAAACUGGAUAUCUAGAGUGCAGGAGAGGAGAAUGGAAUUCCUAGUGUAGCGGUGAAAUGCGUAGAGAUUAGGAAGAACACCAGUGGCGAAGGCGAUUCUCUGGACUGUAACUGACGCUGAGGCAUGAAAGCGUGGGUAGCAAAC
rnacentral:rRNA from 1 species